rnacentral:rRNA from 1 species
CUACGGGAUGCUCCAGUGGGGAAUAUUGCACAAUGGAGGAAACUCUGAUGCAGCAACGCCGCGUGGAGGAUGACACUUUUCGGAGCGUAAACUCCUUUUAUAUAGGAAGAAGAUGACGGUACUAUAUGAAUAAGCGCCGGCUAACUCCGUGCCAGCAGGCCGCGGGUAAUACGGAGGGCGCAAGCGUUACUCGGAAUCACUGGGCGUAAAGAGCGUGUAGGCGGAUUAAAAAGUCAGAAGUGAAAUCCUAUAGCUUAACUAUAGAACUGCUUCUGAAACUCUUAAUCUAGAAUAUGGGAGAGGUAGAUGGAAUUUCUGGUGUAGGGGUAAAAUCCGUAGAGAUCAGAAGGAAUACCGAUUGCGAAGGCGAUCUACUAGAACAUUAUUGACGCUGAGACGCGAAAGCGUGGGGAGCAAACAGGAUUAGAUACCCCAGUAGUC